rnacentral:tRNA from 1 species
AAGGUUUUAAGUUAAAAAAACUAAUAGCCUUCAAAGCUAUCAAUAAAAUAAAUCUUUUUAAACCUUA